AUUGAAUGUUACGCGAGUUUUAUUCACGCCUGAAUCAACAACAACAAAUUUAACAAAGUUAACUCCACCAUCGCAUCGAACGCAUCCCAAGUUUUCCGAUGCAUUUCCAACCCGGAAAUAUUCCUGGUCUACCUACUGGACAUCGCAGCUUACACCGGUAAACCCUGGAGAAACAGAGUUCUGAAGGCUGAAAAUUAUUCUUCCAAACACCACACCAUACUAGCGGUUCGUCCGGCAAAAGAAGGAAGUACCUGUGUUUGCAGAUUUAUCCUCUUUAUCCCUCGAAAAAAAGAAGCUAUAGAAAUGCCAACCAAGAAAGAUAAGAUCCGCCGGCAAUUUGCUGACAUUCUGAAGGAUGCCAAACGGGAGGGAAAGCACCUGCAACUGAGUGACCUAUUCCGCCGCGUGGAAGAAGCCGCCGCGUGGAGGAAGUUGAUGACCCAGCCCAGCACGAAUGAUACAGAGGAGGGAACAGAAGGAAAAUCCCCCAGGAGGAAAAAGCCGGAAAGCAGAGGUUAUGAUGCUUUGGGUGAAGGAGCAGGACAAUCUUGGUGCGCCGACCAAAGUUGAACCGGUCAACAAGAAGAAACGUGUA